rnacentral:lncRNA from 10 species
CAAGAUCGUGCCACUGCACUCAGCCUGGGCAACAGAGUGAGACUCUGCCUAAGGAAAAAAAAGAAAAGAAAGACAUUUUCAGCUAUGCACAGAGGACUUCUAAAUUUGUAUCUUGAACAUGGAACUCAUCUCUGAGCUCCAGAUUUGUGUUUCCCACUCAAAAUCUCCAUCCGGGUUAGGCUCUUAUGAUGUUAUUUAUGCCCUUGUAAAAAGAAGAGACAUGACAUAUCAUUCUCUUCACUACAUGAGGAUAUAGAAAGAAGGCAACCUCCUGCAAAUGAAGAAGCAGGCCCUCAGCAGACAACAAUAAAUCUGCUGGCAAUUUGAUCUGGACUUCUCAGCUUCUAGAACUGUAAGAAAUAAAUGUUGUAUUUUUAAAAAGAUCUCCAUCUGAUUGUCUCAGAGGCAGAUAAUGUUGAAUAGAGUUUUAUCUUCUCUUCACUUCACCCCUAAUUUGGCCUUUCUCCACUAGUUCCUAUUUGUGAAUGGCCUCUCCAUCUGUCUGAUAGCCCAUCUUUGAUUUGUUUCCCUUACAUCUCAUAUUUAAUCAUCAAGCUCUGUCCUUUUUCUUCAUAAGUCUCACCAACACUCCCCCAUAUAUCUCCAACUCCACCACCGCCCUUGUCUAAGCUACAGUCAUCUCUCACCUGGACUGAUGCAAAGGUCUCCUGCUCUGUUCUAUUCUUUACACCACAGUCAGAAAGAGUUUUAGAUAAUGACUAUCUUGGCUGCAUCGUUCCUUUUUUAAAGCCAUUCAAUGGCCUUCUCCAUUCAACUCCACUCCUCCUGUGGGCUCAGGGCCUGGGUGACUGAUUCUCCAUUCAAGUCCACUCCACCUGUGGGCUCAGGGCCUGGGUGACUGAUUCUCCAUUCAAGUCCACUCCUCCUGUGGGCUCAGGGCCUGGGUGACUGAUUCUCCGUUCAAGUCCACUCCUCCUGUGGGCUCAGGGCCUGGGUGACUGAUUCUCCGUUCAAGUCCACUCCUCCUGUGGGCUCAGGGCCUGGGUGACUUCUAACCUCCCUCUGAGCUUCUCCCUGCAUCCUCACUGGGCACCAGUUCCUCAGUAGGAGGGGUUCCCUCCCACGCGGGGCCAGUGGACUUACUUGCUGUCGCCCCUGCCCAGAUCUGUCUUCUCUUUCUUUCUUUGACCGGCUCACUCUUCAUGUGUCUUUAAACUCAGAUCAAAUGGUGUUUCCUCAGAGCAGCCUUCUCAUCAUCAGAAAAGCCUGCAUCCCCAUUACAGUCUCUCAGAGCUCCACAGAACUUCAUGUCCUUCCUUCUUAUCACAGGUUGCACAUUUGCAUUUAUUUGUUUAAUUUUUGGAUGAAUGUGUAUCUUUCUCAGGAGACUGGAAGCUUCUCAAGGACAGGGACCAAGACCUUCUGCCCUGAAUCAUGAUCGUUGCAAACCAAGCCUGCGCUGGCUGGUGCUGAGCAAAGACUCACAGCCCGGAAGACAAAGGCAGGGACCCACAGCACCGAGCCUAUGCCCGUGGCCAACUGAAUCCCUGUGGACCGGCCCCGCCUGUCUGCCUUCCUCACAUCCCUCCACCUCACCGGGAGGCCCUAAGUCGGCUCACAGGGAGCCCUCCUAAGUCGGCUAGAUCUUCUCCCUUCACUCUUCAACACACCUCACAGGUGUUCGGGGAAAAAGGUGACGACCAGGGACCAGGAAGCACAGUUGUGAAGGUUGGAAGUCCAAAAUAAGGUUCAGCAUGUUAAGAUGGAGCUGCCUGCAGAGCCUCAUUCCUCCUGGAGACCCAGGGGAGAAUCGUUCCCUUGCCUUUUCCAGCUUCCAGAGGCACCUGCGUUGUGAGGCUGGAGGUGCGUUCCCCCUUUUCAAAGCCUGCAAAGGUGGUUGAGAGAUUUGUGAGCCACGUGGAGAAGACCUGAAGCUGUGAACUGGAUACCAUGGCAGCUGAUGUCAGGACAGGCCGUCGAUAGAUGACCAAACCCUGCAUCCAAAGUGAGCUUUCCUGUCGGUGUUUUGACUUCUCGUGUGAACAAUGACUGAGGUGGUUCAUUCCUGCAGAGAAGCCCCUUCCUUCUCACCACGCACCAUCUGGGAGGCUGGACUGCAAAGGUGAAAUGGACAAUCAGCCCACUGGAAAAGUGACUGCUGGGCUGUAGGAAAGGGCAGGGCUCAUGGCCUUGCUGUCCAAACACCACUCACAAGUCCAGCAAAGGAAGGGUUGAAUGAAUUUUCAAAGCACUUUGAACUUUCAGGGGAGAAUAAAAUAGAAUGGAAAAGAGUAGAAUAAAAUAACCCAGACCAACCCACUCAAGUCCAAGGUAACCCCAAAGAAAGACUUACUAAUUGUGAUCUCAGCAAUCACUGAGAUACUAGGUGAGCCUCUUCCAUCAUUGCUAGUGUCUCACUGGAGUACUACAUCUUAGCAAAUUCUUUAUUAUUAUUAUUAUUAUUAUUAUUAUUAUUAUUAUUAUUAUUAUUUUUUGAGACGGACACUCGCGGCAACACCCAGGCUGAAGUGCCGUGGUAAAAUCUCGGCUCACUGCAACCUCCACUUCUUGAGUUCAAGUCAUUCUCCUGCCUCAGCCUCUCGAGUAGCUAGGACUACAGGUGUGCACCACCACCAAGCCUGGCUAAUUUUUGUAUUUUUAGUAGAGACAGGGUUUCACCAUGUUGGCCAGGCUGGUCUCGAACUCCUGGCCUCAAGUGAUCCACCUGCCUCGGCCUCUCAAAGCACUGGGAUUACAGGCAUGAGCCACCGCACCCAGCCCAUCUUAGCAAAUUCUUAAGCUGCGUCUGCACUGAGAGGAAAAGCAUUCACCCAUCAGUGAUAGUUACUUUGAGCCCAGGAGAGGGGGAAAUGUCCGAAUAUGAGCAAUCCUUGUCCUGGAGAUGAAGUCUCCCCUCACCAUCCCAUCUAUGGAGUUAUCUGUGGAACUGGAUAGAGAACUAUAUUCUUCCUAUCCAUUAAAUUACAGAACAUAUUACAAAGGAAAAUCGGGUAUCCACAAGACAACAUUGUAUUUUGGGGUGGUAUGAUACUACCAUGGCUCUUCUGGUAAUUGAAGGAUAUAAGCUAUGCAAAAUGAUUCUCACUGCGAAUAAAACAUUUGCUUCAGGAGCUUCUAAAGGUGAGGGCAAUACAAUUUGUGUUUGUUUAAAACAUAAUGUCAUCCAUAACUAAUGGCAUAGCUCUGGCUCAGUAAAGCUUGAAACUAUUGUAUAUAUUUGAAGCUGGAUUUCUGAAUCCUGAGAUGAGAAAUAAAUUUACCCUUAAGCUUUUAUUUUAUUUUUUCAUGGUAAAGGUUAUUUCAGUGACUGA